GCAAGUCGAGCGGGCGCUUUCGGGCGACAGCGGCGGACGGGUUAGUAACGCGUGGGAACGUGCCCUUUGCUCUGGAAUAGCCCUGGGAAACUGGGGGUAAUACCGGAUGUGCCCUGAGGGGGAAAGAUUUAUCGGCAAGGGAUCGGCCCGCGUCUGAUUAGGUAGUUGGUGGGGUAACGGCCCACCAAGCCGACGAUCGGUAGCUGGUUUGAGAGGAUGAUCAGCAACACUGGGACUGAGACACGGCCCAGACUCCUACGGGAGGCAGCAGUGGGGAAUCUUAGACAAUGGGCGCAAGCCUGAUCUAGCCAUGCCGCGUGGGUGAUGAAGGCCUUAGGGUCGUAAAGCCCUUUCGCCGGGGAAGAUAAUGACGGUACCCGGUAAAGAAACCCCGGCUAACUCCGUGCCAGCAGCCGCGGUAAUACGGAGGGGGUUAGCGUUGUUCGGAAUGACUGGGCGUAAAGCGCGCGUAGGCGGAUCAGGAAGUUGGGGGUGAAAUCCCGGGGCUCAACCCCGGAAUGGCCUUCAAAACUCCUGGUCUUGAGUUCGAGAGAGGUGAGUGGAAUUCCGAGUGUAGAGGUGAAAUUCGUAGAUAUUCGGAGGAACACCAGUGGCGAAGGCGGCUCACUGGCUCGACACUGACGCUGAGGUGCGAAAGCGUGGGGAGCAAACAGG
rnacentral:rRNA from 1 species